rnacentral:rRNA from 1 species
AGUGAACGCUGGCGGUAGGCCUAACACAUGCAAGUCGAACGGCAGCACCGUAAUCGCUUGCUCUUACGGGUGGCGAGUGGCGGACGGGUGAGGAAUACAUCGGACUCUACUUUUUCGUGGGGGAUAACGUAGGGAAACUUACGCUAAUACCGCAUACGACCUACGGGUGAAAGCAGGGGAUCUUCGGACCUUGCGCGAUUGAAUGAGCCGAUGUCGGAUUAGCUAGUUGGCGGGGUAAAGGCCCACCAUGGCGACGAUCCGUAGCUGGGCUGAGAGGAUGAUGAGGCACACUGGAACUGAGACACGGUCCAGACUCCUACGGGAGGCAGAAGUGGGGAAGAGUGGACAAUGGGGGCAAGCCUGAUCCAGCCAUACCGCGUGGGUGAAGAAGGCCUUCGGGUUGUAAAGCCCUUUUGUUGGGAAAGAAAAGCAGCAGGUUAAUACCCCGCUGUUCUGACGGUACCCAAAGAAUAAGCACCGGCUAACUUCGUG